GCUCAGAUUGAACGCUAGCGGGAUGCUUUACACAUGCAAGUCGAGAGGCAGCUCGAGAGUGCUUGCUCUCUUGGCGGGGAGUGGCGGCCCGGUGAGUUAUAUAUCGGUAUUUGCCCAGUAGGGGGGGAUAAUUACUCGCAAGAGUGGAUAAUCCUGCAUAUUCCCUACGAAUUUCAGGGCAACAGGGGGGGAUCGCACAGACCUCUCACAUAUUGGAGCGCGCCGAUAUCGGAUUAGCUAGUUGGUGGGGUAAGCCCUGGCAUCACACAACGGACUUAACGAUCCGCCUACGCUGGUUUGAGAGGACGGCCCGCCACAUUGGGACUGAGACACGAGCGCCAGACGUCUUACGGGAGGCAGCAGUGGGGAAUUUUGGGCAAGGGGGGAAACCGUGAUCCAGCCCUCCCGCGUGUGCAUGAAGCCCUCCG
rnacentral:rRNA from 1 species